rnacentral:rRNA from 1 species
UGGGGAAUCUUCCGCAAUGGACGAAAGUCUGACGGAGCAACGCCGCGUGAGUGAAGACGGCCUUCGGGUUGUAAAGCUCUGUGAUCCGGGACGAAAGAGCCUGAGGUAAAUAGCCUAAGGAAGUGACGGUACCGGAAAAGCAAGCCACGGCUAACUACGUGCCAGCAGCCGCGGUAAUACGUAGGUGGCAAGCGUUGUCCGGAAUUAUUGGGCGUAAAGCGCGCGCAGGCGGCUUACUAAGUCCAUCUUAAAAGUGCGGGGCUUAACCCCGUGAUGGGAUGGUAACUGGAAAGCUGGAGUAUCGGAGAGGAAAGUGGAAUUCCUAGUGUAGCGGUGAAAUGCGUAGAGAUUAGGAAGAACACCGGUGGCGAAGGCGACUUUCUGGACGAAAACUGACGCUGAGGCGCGAAAGCGUGGGGAGCAAACAGG